AUUGAACGCUGGCGGCAUGCCUUACACAUGCAAGUCGAACGGCAGCACGGGUGCUUGCACCUGGUGGCGAGUGGCGAACGGGUGAGUAAUACAUCGGAACAUGUCCUGUAGUGGGGGAUAGCCCGGCGAAAGCCGGAUUAAUACCGCAUACGAUCUACGGAUGAAAGCGGGGGACCUUCGGGCCUCGCGCUAUAGGGUUGGCCGAUGGCUGAUUAGCUAGUUGGUGGGGUAAAGGCCUACCAAGGCGACGAUCAGUAGCUGGUCUGAGAGGACGACCAGCCACACUGGGACUGAGACACGGCCCAGACUCCUACGGGAGGCAGCAGUGGGGAAUUUUGGACAAUGGGCGAAAGCCUGAUCCAGCAAUGCCGCGGGUGUGAAGAAGGCCUUCGGGUUGUAAAGCACUUUUGUCCGGAAAGAAAUCCUUGGCCCUAAUACGGUCGGGGGAUGACGGUACCGGAAGAAUAAGCACCGGCUAACUACGUG
rnacentral:rRNA from 1 species